GAUGAAGGUAGUGGUUUGAGUUUAUUUAAAACAUAAUUACAGAUUAAUUAAUUAACUAACUAAUUAUAAACUUUUUGUAAAUAAAUAGUUGAUUAAUCAAACUGUAAUUGUGUGUUCAAUUAAACUUUUUGAAGGGGGGCAAAGAGUUUCUAUUGAAAUACAUAAGGUUACAAUUUGGUGUACAGAAGAAAUUAAAAAUAUUCUUACUGAUACUUUUUGGUAGAAUGUAAUAUGUGUUGUAAUUUUCCCUGGAGACAUCGGUCACUGAUAGACAUCAACACUCAUCUGGUUACAAAUUAAAUCACAUCAACUCACUCGCUAUCGCACUCCCGUGUAACACUCUUCACGACGCUUCCUACACAGCAGCAAAGCACAGCGAGCGAUUGAGCACGACAUAACAGAGCAUCGCACAGCGCCAACAUCUCCUUCUCUUCUCCUCGACGCGCCCGUGACCAUCUCCGUCUCGAUCCCUGCACAAGAGAGCUGCUGCAUUAUGAAAGCUGCGAGAACUACGCUGCCGGUUACGCACCCUUGGCUGCGACGCGAGCGACGAGGGCUUCGCGAGGGCGGAGCUAGACGAAGGAAAUGC
rnacentral:lncRNA from 1 species